UACGUAGGGGCCUAGCGUUGUCCGGAUUUAUUGGGCGUAAAGAGCGUGUAGGCGGUCCGGUAAGUCAGCUGUGAAAGUCAAGGGCUCAACCCUUGAAUGCCGGUUGAUACUGUCGGGCUAGAGUCCGGAAGAGGCGAGUGGAAUUCCCGGUGUAGCGGUGAAAUGCGCAGAUAUCGGGAGGAACACCAAUGGCGAAGGCAGCUCGCUGGGACGGUACUGACGCUGAGACGCGAAAGCGUGGGGAGCAAACAGG
rnacentral:rRNA from 1 species